GCGAAGGGGAAGGACCAAACUCAAAAUUACCCACUUUGAGAGCAAAAGCGCAAAUUCCGGCACCAUUUUGUUUGCCAUUUAAAAAACAAACCCAAAAAUCAUUAAAUGACUUUCUGCCAUUUUUCUUAAGUAAAACCCUAGCCCCUUUUCUAUUGUUUCAUCACCGUAAGCAGCAGUGAACGUCAAAUCCGACUCUAUUUGGAGUCGUAUCCUCCUAAUCCCAACCCAAACUUCGAUUUUCACGAAGCAAACAAGGAUUUGAAGGCUCUUAUCAAGUGCGUGGGCGAGCACGCCACUAACGUGUCGUGGUGGAGCGGCGCACGUUGCGAGGUGGUGGCAUUUGGCCCCCGAGGGAGGCAUGGGCCGUGGCGUGAGCUCUAACGACGGUUCCUAGGGUUUUUGUUGAAACCUGUUUGAGUUUGGGCCAUUUGGGCCUUGUAGUUUGGGUCUUAGGAUUUGGGUUGGUUUUGGGCUUGAACUGGUUGUUAAAUGAACAUUUUAAUAUUUUUGUUUUA